UAUAUUUAAAAUUAUUCGGUUUUCGGUUCGGUUCGGUUUAAACAUGUUAAAUAACCGAUCAAACCGAAAAACCGAAAAACCGGUUUAAACAUGUUAACCCAACCCAGCCAGGCAGCAGCCCAACCCCAUCAAUCGAUUUCACUGAACCCUUCAUUCAUCCCGUUCUCUACAUUCUGCAAUCUCCUCUCCCGAACCCGAUUCCCCCCGAACCCCUAUUCUCUCUCUCGAAUCCCGAUUCCUCCCCCUGGCCUCUCUUUCUCUUUCACGUCGAUCGUCAAUCUUUUUCUCGUCGACCUCCGACCGCCGACCGUCGACCAUCAACCUCUUUCCCGUCGAUUUGGUGAGUUUCGCCGCCGACCGUGGACUGAUUUGGAAAAGGAGCCAGGAUAUUGAAUGUGGUACAAGAAAUGCAGGGCUCCUGUGUAAUUGGACAUGCUUGUGCAAUUAAAUUUCUUGCAUCUUUAUUCAUGUAACUUAUGUGAUGCUGUCCUUGUAAGUGAAAUGCUAUAAUGUUUGCACAUCAGUCAUAAUUUGAAGGUAGACUUGCUGAGCA